rnacentral:tRNA from 1 species
GUUUUGAUAGUUUAUAUAAAACCUUGGUCUCGUAAACCAAAUAUGAAAUAAUAUUUCUCAAACCU